UGGAAUGAUGAGAAAAAUUUGCGAUUGAUUUCUUUCGGUGGCCCUCUUUCGCCGGAGUGGCUAUAUCGUCUGAAUAUAUGACAUUCAAUUCUUACAUAUUCUGACC
rfam:Colletotrichum salicis strain CBS 607.94 Scaffold_929.1, whole genome shotgun sequence.